rnacentral:rRNA from 1 species
GGGCCCGCACAAGCGGUGGAGCAUGUGGUUUAAUUCGAUGCAACGCGAAGAACCUUACCAGGUCUUGACAUGUCACUUUUUUCUUGAAAAAGAAAGUUCCCGAGUGAACACAGGUGGUGCAUGGCUGUCGUCAGCUCGUGUCUUGAGAUGUUGGGUUAAGUCCCGCAACGAGCGCAACCCUUAUUCUGUGUUGCUAUUUAUAGGAAACUCAGAAGACUGCCGGUGAUAAGCCGGAGGAAGGUGAGGAUGACGUCAAGUCAGCAUGCCCCUUACGACCUGGGCCACACACGUGCUACAAUGGCCGGGACAAAGAGAUGCAAUCUCGCGAGAGCAAGCUAACCUCAAAAAACCCGGUCUUAGUUCGGAUUGUAGGCUGAAACUCGCCUACAUGAAGCUGGAAUCGCUAGUAAUCGCAGGU